GAUGAACGCUGGCGGCGUGCCUAAUACAUGCAAGUCGAGCGAACAGACGAGGAGCUUGCUCCUCUGACGUUAGCGGCGGACGGGUGAGUAACACGUGGAUAACCUACCUAUAAGACUGGGAUAACUUCGGGAAACCGGAGCUAAUACCGGAUAACAUGUUGAACCGCAUGGUUCAACAGUGAAAGACGGUCUUGCUGUCACUUAUAGAUGGAUCCGCGCCGCAUUAGCUAGUUGGUAAGGUAACGGCUCACCAAGGCAACGAUGCGUAGCCGACCUGAGAGGGUGAUCGGCCACACUGGAACUGAGACACGGUCCAGACUCCUACGGGAGGCAGCAGUAGGGAAUCUUCCGCAAUGGGCGAAAGCCUGACGGAGCAACGCCGCGUGAGUGAAGGAGGUCUUCGGAUCGUAAAACUCUGUUAUUAGGGAAGAACAAAUGUGUAAGUAACUAUGCACGUCUUGACGGUACCUAAUCAGAAAGCCACGGCUAACUACGUG
rnacentral:rRNA from 1 species